rnacentral:rRNA from 1 species
UACGGAGGGGACUAGCGUUGUUCGGAAUUACUGGGCGUAAAGCGCACGUAGGCGGAUUUUUAAGUCAGGGGUGAAAUCCCGGGGCUCAACCCCGGAACUGCCUUUGAUACUGGAAGUCUUGAGUAUGGUAGAGGUGAGUGGAAUUCCGAGUGUAGAGGUGAAAUUCGUAGAUAUCUGGAGGAACACCGGUGGCGAAGGCGGCAUCCUGGACCGGCAUUGACGCUGAGGCGCGAAAGCCAGGGGAGCAAACGGG